rnacentral:rRNA from 1 species
AUUGAACGCUGGCGGCAUGCUUUACACAUGCAAGUCGAACGGUAACAGGCCGCAAGGUGCUGACGAGUGGCGAACGGGUGAGUAAUGCAUCGGAACGUGCCCAGUCGUGGGGGAUAACGCAGCGAAAGCUGCGCUAAUACCGCAUACGAUCUAUGGAUGAAAGCGGGGGACCGUAAGGCCUCGCGCGAUUGGAGCGGCCGAUGUCAGAUUAGGUAGUUGGUGGGGUAAAGGCUCACCAAGCCAACGAUCUGUAGCUGGUCUGAGAGGACGACCAGCCACACUGGGACUGAGACACGGCCCAGACUCCUACGGGAGGCAGCAGUGGGGAAUUUUGGACAAUGGGCGCAAGCCUGAUCCUGCAACGCCGCGUGCAGGAAGAAGGCCUUCGGGUCGUAAACUGCUUUUGUACGGAGCGAAAAGGCUCUCUCUAAUACAGGGGGCUCAUGACGGUACCGUAAGAAUAAGCACCGGCUAACUACGUGCCAGCCGCCGCCGUAAUAC